GCCCCGGGGGGCAGCUUACCAUGCAGUCGAGCGCCCCCUCGGGGGAGCGGCAGACGGGUGAGUAAUGCAUGGGAAUCUACCUAGCUCUACGGAAUAACUCAGGGAAACUUGAACUAAUACCGUAUACGUCCUUCGGGAGAAAGAUUUAUCGGAGUUAGAUGAGCCCAUGUCUGAUUAGCUAGUUGGUGAGGUAAAGGCUCACCAAGGCGACGAUCAGUAGCUGGUCUGAGAGGAUGAUCAGCCACACUGGGACUGAGACACGGCCCAGACUCCUACGGGAGGCAGCAGUGGGGAAUAUUGGACAAUGGGCGCAAGCCUGAUCCAGCCAUGCCGCGUGAGUGAUGAAGGCCCUAGGGUUGUAAAGCUCUUUCACCGGUGAAGAUAAUGACGGUAACCGGAGAAGAAGCCCCGGCUAACUUCGUGCCAGCAGCCGCGGUAAU
rnacentral:rRNA from 1 species